rnacentral:misc_RNA from 1 species
GAUGAAGAACGUAGCGAAAUGCGAUAAGUAAUGCGAAUUGCAGAAUUUCCGUGAGUCAUCGAAUCUUUGAACGCACAUUGCGCCCGCCAGUAUUCUGGCGGGCAUGCCUGUUCGAGCGUCAUUUCAACCAUCAAGCCCCCGGCUUGUGUUGGGGACCUGCGGCUGCCGCAGGCCCUGAAAAGCAGUGGCGGGCUCGCUGUCACACCGAGCGUAGUAGAUUUCAUCUCGCUCAGGGCGUGCUGCGGGUUCCGGCCGUUAAACCACCUUCAUAACCCAAGGUUGACCUCGGAUCAGGUAGGAAGACCCGCUGAACUUAAGCAUAUCAAUAAGCGGAGGA